rnacentral:rRNA from 1 species
AUUGAACGCUGGCGGCAGGCUUAACACAUGCAAGUCGAGCGGAGCGAGGGUGCUUGCACCUUAGCUUAGCGGCGGACGGGUGAGUAAUGCUUAGGAAUCUGCCUCUUAGUGGGGGACAACAUUCCGAAAGGAAUGCUAAUACCGCAUACGCCCUACGGGGGAAAGCAGGGGAUCUUCGGACCUUGCGCUAAUAGAUGAGCCUAAGUCGGAUUAGCUAGUUGGUGGGGUAAAGGACUACCAAGGCGACGAUCUGUAGCGGGUCUGGGAGGAUGAUCCGCCACACUGGGACUGAGACACGGCCCAGACUCCUACGGGAGGCAGCAGUGGGGAAUAUUGGACAAUGGGCGGAAGCCUGAUCCAGCCAUGCCGCGUGUGUGAAGAAGGCCUUUUGGUUGUAAAGCACUUUAAGCGAGGAGGAGGCUACUUAGAUUAAUACUCUGGGAUAGUGGACGUUACUCGCAGAAUAAGCACCGGCUAACUCUGUGCCAGCCGCCGCAGUAA